CGGAUCGUUUUAGAAACAUCAGUGGCCAACAAUCGUCAGGAUUGUUGAGCUGCAUUGGCGGGAUUUCGCCGUCUUCGUUUCUCUUUCUUCGCGGACGAACACGCGCUGGGGCUGCAACCUUGCAGGAUCCCUGGUCCUUAACAGGAUAUGCGUUAGGGGCUUGUAGCUCAGUUGGUUAGAGCGCGCGCUUGAUAAGCGUGAGGUCGGAAGUUCAAGUCUUCCCAGGCCCACCACACUCAUCGGGUAAGCAUUCGUCUUCUGGUUACGGGGCCAUAGCUCAGCUGGGAGAGCGCGUGCUUUGCAAGCAUGAGGUCGUCGGUUCGAUCCCGUCUGGCUCCACCAGAUGGUUUGAUCACCAACGGCAUAAUGACCGUCGUCCGCGAAACAUCACUUCGCACCCACUAGUCCGGAUGGACAGUGUGGUUGCGUGAUUUCUGACAUCGUAAAGAGGAGAUCGAUCCGAGUUGGAUCGUGCAGCAAGCAAUUGCCGCGCGAUACUUCAUUAUCUCCGGAUCAUUUCGGCGCUUGCUUCGCCCUUCAAGGUCAAACUUGAGAGGCGAUGCGAGUUGUAAAUGAUCCUUUUAGCGAAGCUUGACCGCCUCGCUAUCGGAACGAUCUUACGAAGCAAGCUGGUCUUUCUAAUCAUUGUCCGGCUGUGAGAUAGCGUUCAUCGAGGGCGCGUGCCGCAAGGCAGUUCUUACAGACAACAUUCUGCCGAGUGUGUGGACAUUGAUAAUGAGAGCAAUCAAGUGCCUUAAGGGUGUUCGGUGGAUGCCUUGGCGCUGAGAGGCGAUGAAGGACGUGCUACGCUG
rnacentral:tRNA from 1 species